rnacentral:tRNA from 1 species
UAGGCGGUUCGUAUAUCGGUUUGAUUACUCCGGUCUGAUAUACCGGAAAGGAAAGUUCAACUCUUUCACCGCCUAU